CAGUAGCCGCGGGAAUACGUAGGUGGCAAGCGUUGUCCAGAUUUAUUGGGCGUAAAGCGAGCGCAGGCGGUUUCUUAAGUCUGAUGUGAAAGCCCCCGGCUCAACCGGGGAGGGUCAUUGGAAACUGGGAAACUUGAGUGCAGAAGAGGAGAGUGGAAUUCCAUGUGUAGCGGUGAAAUGCGUAGAUAUAUGGAGGAACACCAGUGGCGAAGGCGGCUCUUUGGUCUGUAACUGACGCUGAGGCUCGAAAGCGUGGGGAGCAAACAGGAUUAGAUACCCCAGUAGUCCCUGUCUCUUAUAC
rnacentral:rRNA from 1 species